UCCCGGAGAGCGGAGUCCACGGGAAGGAUGGCGAAGGAAAAGGAAGACGUGGAGCAGGAAUUAAAGACGAAGGGAACGGGGCGAGAGGAAAGAGGCAGCCGGGACAGCGCAGUGGUCGCCUCGGAAUUCUCGACACUAAAGGUGUCAGAAAUCGUGGUGCGCACAGGAGAUAUUCCUUUGAAUUUGGCACAAUUUCAGAUUCCGGUGGAGGGGACAGAUAAGUAAAGGAACAUUUAAAGCUGGAGCCACUUUGCUGUACAGCAGUAAUUAACACAACAUCGUAAAUCAACUAAACGUGAGGAGACUGAUCCUCAUCCCCUCUCCAAGGGAUGAUAAACCAGCUAAAUUGAAGCCAAGGUCAGUACCCUUUUUAGGAAGGUGACGAGGCGCGAGGACAAACACUUGGCGGGAAAGGAGUGUCGUAGAGACGGACGGAUGCAGAAAGGAGAGGUGGCGUGGAGGAAGGAACAGACAGACCUGGACUGGAGCGAGUGCUGCAUCCACCCUUAUUAGCCUCACCGGCAAGCGUCUUAACCCUUAGGAUCCUCAGUUUCUCUGUUUGUAAACUGAGGGUAAACAUACCUCCAAUUCUGCUGUAUUAGAGACAAUGGACGUCAAAUCCCUGGUGCAUUGAAUCCAUCUUCAGUGGUAACACAAACUUCCUAGCUUCACAGGGGCUGUUUCUCACCAAGUCUCAAAGCUCCCUACCCCAGUGACUAAAAAUGGUUCUAAAAUGACAUCAAAUGGGACAAAGGCGGGUGGCUGACUCUUUGUUCUGAGGUUUUGUUCAGAGCUUGACAAGCUUUGCAGAGAGCUCCCAAGAAGAUGCCAGCCCACGAAAGUUGUCAUUGGUCCAGAUGCACGGAUUCAGUCUCUCCACUUAGCAACAGUAUUUGCCUCCUGCUUCAGAAAAGGAAACAAAAAAGUAAGCCUGCAGUUAAAUACACCCACAAGGGCAAAUCCCCAUGAAAGCCUGUCAAAAAAGAGCUGUGGGAAAGAUGAGCUAUUGCUGUACGCCUGGGUGAACUCCAAUGAGGAAGCCACAAGGGGGAGGGAGGAUGGGCACAGGGGCUUGUCAGUUGCAGCCCCCCAAAGGGUUUCAGCCUUUCCCUCCUCCGGAUUCCCACUGCCCCACGACUGCCCUCAUUGACAUUGUUCCUGGACUAUUUUAACUGCUUCCUAAUUCAUUCGCCUGUCCUGCCAUUUACAAGGGACUCUAUACUAUCACUGUCAAAUUAAACAACUGCCUUUUGGGGGGUGGCUGUUGACCUUUCAUUGCAGGAGAAAUCUUUCUAAAGCGUGGGUCUGAUCUCAUCACUCCUCUGCUUAAAAGCUGUCAGUGUACUUUGUCUGUAUUAUGCUCCAGGUUAGUAGUUUCCCCUGGGCACUGGUCACUUGCCUGCCUGGCUGUCUCCCGCAUCACACUUUCGGAGGGAGGGCACUCAGGGGCCCCUGCCACCUAUCAGAGCCAUUGGAUGCAUCACUUUCUCUCAGUCACAUUAAUCUUCAUUCAAUUCCUCAAAAGCUUUCCCUCACUGCUGGGUCUUCUCACAUCUUGUUUCCUUUGCUGGAACGUUAACCCUUUGACGCCUCCCCUAGCAAAUGCCUCAUCCUUAUUUUGCACAUUCCCCGCCCCCCGAAAGGCUUCUCUGAACCCCCAGAUGAGGCUAGCGCCCCAGCCUCCUUCCCACGUGUUGUCUGAUGAGCCCCGCAACCUGGACUGAUGCCCCCAGUAACCUUUCACCAUCCAUAGACACAUUACAUUAUAAAUAAAUAGCAUUUGAAAAAAAAUUAACUCUUUACUAUGUUGACUUCAAAAUGUAAAUUCUAAAGCAAAACAUGACAAUCCAAAUUAUAGAGGUAAUAGUCUGUCUUAAAUCUUUGAAGCACACCUUA